ensembl:lncRNA
CAGAGUCUCACUAAGUUUUCAAGUUGCCUGGGCUGGGCUCAAAUUUGAGACCCUCCUGCCUCAGCCUCCCAGAGUGCUGGGAUCACAGGCCUGAGCCGCCACACCCAGCUCCACUGAGAGUUUCAUGUAGCUAAGGCUCCAUCUGAAGGCCCCCAUCUGAAGCCCCUGCUUCCACUAGAGGAUCAUAAUGAGGUUUUGAGUCUUGGGAAUUAGUGUCAAUUCAGAGACAAUGUCUUAUAAUCUUCCAAAGGAUAACUGCCUAUCUCCCUUUCCCCAGCGCAUAGUCACUCCUGUGCCUGGCUGCAGGUUCCUUCGGCAAAGGCUUGGAAGAUGACCAAUGGGUUAUCCUUAUGUGUGUGUGUGCGCACGCAUGCGUGUGGUGAUGGGGAUUGAACCCAUGGCCUCAUAUGCUAGGCAAGUGCUCUACCAUUAAGCUAUAUCCCCAGCCCAUUGGUAUACAUACUUCUUUGUUUGUGUUUUGCUUUUUUGAGACAGUGUCUCAUUAUGUAGCCCAGACCAACCUUGAACUUGCAAUCCUUCUGCCUCAGCCUCCUGAGUGCUUGAUACAGACAUGUGCCAUCACAUCCAGCUUCAGAAGUAUGUUUUGUUUUGCUUUGUUUUGUUUUUGAGGCAGGGUCUCCCUUUGCAGUCCAGGCUAUCCUCGAACUCAUGGUGAUCCUCCUGCCUCAGCCUCCUAAGUGCUGGGACUACAGGCAUGCACCACAACAACCAGCUCCAGAAGUGUAUUUUUUUUUUUUUUUUUUUUUGGUACCCGGGAUAGAACUCGGGACCUUGCGUUUUCGAGGCAGGCGCUGGAACCACUGAGCUAAAUCCCCGGCCCAGAAGUGUAUAUUUUUGAGAGUGAUGCAGGAUCCUUUCUCAAGAGAUCUGGCCUUCUCUUCAGUUGAGGUGUUUGUGCAGCUGUGAGUUAACUUCAGUCUGGAAACAGAUAUUAUGAUUACCUACAGGCAAAUUAAGUCAGGAUUUUGGCACUAGACUGAGAGCUUUUCUUAACAGAUAGGUUAUGGUACUCAGGUGGACAUUUCUGUUUGAGGAAUACGGCAGUCUGUUAACUACCAUGAAAGAGCUCCCAGGCCAAGGCAUUCUGCUUGUCUGUGUGACCCUGCUGCCCUCUGGUAGAAGUACCAUCUUGUAUUUGGUAGUUCAGUGCUGCCACUGGGCCUCUGUACUUUAGGAUCCGUCAUCUUGUGUAAGCAGAAAGCUCACCUCAGUGGCAGCUCUCCUACGGUCACAGCUGGCGUCACAGCUGGCUGACACAGAGACUUUUAGGACUGCAGAUCCUCUUGUGUUUCUGUUACUUUAGUGAAGGGAAUGUCCUGAGGGUCUUUUCAGGGAACAUAGCUUGGGGACAGUGAUGAGUUUUCUACUACUGCCACAACAAAUGCCACACAUUUAGCAGCAAAAACAGGUCAUCUCCACAGUGUAAGCUUUUUUUCUUUUUUUUUUUUUUUUUGUACCAGGGAUCAAACUCAGGACUUGUGCUUGAGAGGCAGGCAGCAGCACCACUGAGCUAAAUCCUCGGCCCUGCUUUCACACCCUUUUACCAGACAGUGCUGUAACAUUCACAUGAGGAGCUCAGCAAGACUUAGCAUCGAGACUGCAGUUUCAGAGCAUACUACUGACAAAGCUUGGCUUCAUCCACAUUGGCCAAGAAUGUCUGCAGAGCCCAGGUCUGUGUGCACCGAGCAAAACGGUGAAUUAGGAGCUGAGACAGUGGGGCAGUAACCAGCACCAUUCAUCCAGCAAGCUCCAUGCAGGACUGGUACCCGCUGUCACGUGUCCUCGGGUUGUCUGUGUGGAGCAGGAGAUGGUGAGGACCCUCCUGAGCAGCAGAAGAGCUGCCACCCAUCAGAAUGGCCUUUUGUGUCCAGCGAGUGUGGUGAACGCUUCCUGGCCAGCAGGGACCUCUCCCAGCAGCAGGCUGCCGAUGGCAAGGGAAAACUGAGGACCAGCACCAGGACGCUGCCCCUCAUGGCUCUGGCCUCAGGCAGCACCCGGCAGGCCACACUGGCAAGUGUGGGAACUCCUUCCUGAAUGAACAGCCCUGCUCAUGAAGGCCAGCCGAGGUCCCACAGCAGGUGGAAAUGCCCUCAAGGAAACAUCAGCUCUUCCUACUCAGAAAAAGAUUUAUGAUGGGGAAGCAUCACACGCAGACGGGGAGGGUGGGGAGGCCUUCACUUUUUUGUCUAACCUGAGCCUGAGCGUGCAUCAGAAGGUUCACACAGAAUUGAAACGUUCUGCCACAAAUCCACACUCAUCCAGUCCUAGAGAGUCCACAUGGGGAGAGGCCUUGUGAGUGCAGCAAGUGUGGCAAAACCUUUAGCCUUGCAUCUACCCUCAUUCUGCACUGGAAAGUUCAUACUGGGGAAAAGCCUUACAGGUGCACGGAGCAUAAGAAAUUCUUUAGCCAGAACUCCAGCCUCCUUGGUACCAGAGAGCCCACACAGGAGCAGGGCCUUACAAGUGCAGUGAGUGGAAAAACCCACAGCAGGAUCUCCUGUUUCCAGAAGGUUCACGUGAGAGAAAGGCAACAGCAGUGCCACCAUACAGAAAGCCUUCAUCAAAAUCUCCACGCGUGUCACAGCAGAGAUUUCUUAACAUAGGAAUGCUGAUACGGGGCUGGGGAUUUGCCUCAAUGGCUCCUACACCUGCCUCAAGCGCAAGGUCCUGAGUUUGAUCCCUGGUUCCAAAAAAAAGAGGCUGAUAUGAAAUUGGGCAUCAUGGCACGUGCCUAUAAUCCCAGCAUUCAGGAGGCUGAGGCAGGGGGACGACUGUGAGUUCAAGCCCAGCCUGAACUAUGCAGCGAGACCCUAUCUGAAAAAAUAGUAAGGGCCAGAUGUGGUGGUGCACUCGUGUAAUCUCAGCACUUGACAAACUGAGGCAGGAGGAUCGCUGGGAGUUCAAGGUUAGCCUAGGCUACAAAGUGAGUUCAAGGCCAGUCUGAACUACAUAGGGAGACCUUGACUCAAAAAACCAAUAAAUUUUUUAAAAGGCCAAUGUGGGCAGUACAUGUUUGAGAGCCUUAAGCUGCAUCUCUGAGAUGUCUGACACCAGCAGUUUCAUAUUGGAAAGGCCUGUAAGCAUGGAGUGAAUAUAGGAAAGCCUUUUUCACAUACUUUCAGCAUCCAGAAUUCACAGCCCAAAAAAGGACUUGUCAGAGCAGUGAAUGUGGAAAACUUUUCCACCAAGUUGCCAAGCUUGUUCUACACACAGGCUUUGUACUAUAGAAAGGUAAUCUCUGGGCCAGGGAUUUAGCUCAGUGGUUCUGUCACUUGCCUUGCAAGCACAAGGACCUGAGUUCGAUCCCUGGUACAAAAAAAAAAAAGAAAGAAAGAAAGAAAAGUAAUCACUGUGGGAAACCCUUUUGUUGAAGUUCUAACCUUACUCCCUACCACAAAUUUACCUUGGAGAAAGGCCUUUCUAUCCAGAUCUUCAGUAAAAAGAUGAAGACUGUUCAGCCUGUAGCACGUUGCCUAUUGCUAUAUAACAAACACCCACUAUCAUCACAACACCCAUUUCCAAGCUCAAA